UACCAGCACCCCGAGUGGUCGGGACGAUUAUUGGGCCUAAAGCAUCCGUAGCCGGUUUUACAAGUCCUCCGUUAAAUCCAGCUGCUUAACAGAUGGGCUGCGGAGGAUACUAUAAGACUAGGAGGCAGGAGAGGCAAGCGGUACUCAGUGGGUAGGGGUAAAAUCCGAUGAUCCAUUGAAGACCACCAGUGGCGAAGGCGGCUUGCCAGAAUGCGCUCGACGGUGAGGGAUGAAAGCUGGGGGAGCAAACCGG
rnacentral:rRNA from 1 species